rnacentral:lncRNA from 10 species
ACCCAGCCAGCCAGCAACCUGGACCGUUAAAUGGAAGUGGUCAGCUCAAAAUGCCCAGCCACUGCCUUUCUGCUCAGAUGCUGGCACCUCCGCCCCCGGGGCUGCCACGGCUGGCGCUCCCCCCUGCCACCAAACCCGCCACCACCUCCGAGGGAGGAGCCACGUCGCCGACCUCGCCUUGUAAGCACGCGGGAAGCGGUGCCCUGGUGGGGCGGAUGUCCGCAGGGGGGCCUGUCCCCUCCCCAGCCCCACUGCCAGGUCAGAGGUCAGGCCCGACCCUGCAGGGCCUGGCGAGUUUGGUGGGUCUCCGGAAAACAGCCCAGUGGCCACGUGGUUGGGCCCAUGUAGGGCUGAGGCAGCCUUAGGGGCUGGCCGGACCAAGCCUCGGGCCAGGGUGAGAGUCCAGGGUCUGUCCCCUUCGCCGAGUCACCUGGGGGACCCCGGUGCCCGCCGUGGGCCGUCAGAAACCCUCCCUGGUAUGUCAGGCAGCUGACAGUGGACACGGAUCUCACAGUGGCGGCCCGAGGGCCAGACUCGACCCCCAGACUGGUCUUUUGUUUGUGGAGAAAGAGAAUCGGUUGUUAUCAUUUUAAAAUCAGGACGUUUUACAUAAA